UACGAGGGGUGCAAGCGUUGCUCGGAAUUAUUGGGCGUAAAGGGUAGGUAGGUGGUCUCAUUUGUCUGGGGUGAAAGCUCGGGGCUCAACCCCGAGUCGGCCGUGCGAACUGCUGGGCUUGAGCACUGUAGAGGCAGGCGGAAUUCCGGGUGUAGCGGUGGAAUGCGUAGAGAUCCGGAAGAACACCGGUGGCGAAGGCGGCCUGCUGGGCAGUGGCUGACACUGAGGCGCGACAGCGUGGGGAGCAAACAGG
rnacentral:rRNA from 1 species